rnacentral:lncRNA from 1 species
CACUGUGACUCUUGAUGAUUCUUGAAGACAAGAUGGAUCUAGAGUGCUUAAGAAAGUUUGAGUUGGUAAUGGCUAGAAGGAGGCAGACUAAAGUUCCAUCCGUCGAUCCUUUAGUCCCGUCAGGUGGUGACGUGAGGGUUCCAGCCAUUGAAUCAACCACUGCGGCCAUGAGGGAUGAAAAUCCUCCCUUACUUAUUGAGCCAAUAGUUGCCCCAUCGAAAGUUGUGGUGAAAUCUCUGUCAGAAGGGGUUCUGAUAGAAGAGAGAUCGGUGGAAAAGG